rnacentral:rRNA from 1 species
UACGGAGGGUGCGAGCGUUGUCCGGAAUCACUGGGCGUAAAGGGCGCGUAGGCGGCGCGGUGAGUCAACGGUGAAAGCUCGGCGCUCAACGCCGAGUCGGCCGUCGAUACUCCCGUGCUUGAGCACUGUAGAGGCAGGUGGAAUUCCGGGUGUAGCGGUGAAAUGCGCAGAUAUCAGGAGGAACACCCGUGGCGAAAGCGGCUCUCUGGGACGGUACUGACGCUGAGACGCGAAAGCGUGGGGAGCAAACAGG